GCAGACCCCGCCCCAUAGGGCCAGGCGUGUGCCAGGCUCCGUGUGUCUUUCAGGUCUCACUUGUGACUUUCCAGGGAAAUGGAGCAAUCCCAGCUGUGUGUGACUUUCGCUCUCCCGGGUCAGCUGGGCGCUCGUUUCACUUGAACUUCAGGCCGUGAACGGUCCCCCCAGCGACCUGCUGCCAAAGUCAGCUCGCUCAGAGUUUUGCUGGCCUUAUGUGAGAAUCUUGGGGAGGCAGACGGUCACAUCUUGGGGCGCAAGGCUCCUUUGUCUCCUCUGACUCCGUUUUGGAUUGGUGUACCCCUCCUUCUCUGGAGCGAUGGGGGAAGAUCAUCGAACUCCCACCUCCACCAUACUGAUCGGGGGGCUCUGGUCCGAGUAGAAAUCUCUCUUUCCUACACACGGAGGCACGGUAGAGCGCACCAGGCUUUACAGAAGGAGGGCAUGAGCGGGGAGAGGGGUAGCUACAAAAUUGCCAAAUAGCACAAGCGAUGAAUGUUUUCUGGUUCUAUAAAUGCCAAACUAGCACUUUUAUAUUUGCAAAGUGCUUUAUGCUUUUUAGUGAUUGUUAGUUUUUUUCUCACAUCUUCGUGAGGUAGAUCAGAGUUAUGACCCCUGUGUUAGGCAAGGCCUGGGGACAGCAGUGUGGCAGGCUCUUCUGAGGAGAGGCUGACGACAGUGUGGAUAGCUGUGGUCUGCUCUUCUGUGCUCUCCAGCUCAGCCCCUAGGAAGACGUACCCGUUGUGAUUUAUAUAAUACAGUAAGGACACUGAAAAUCUGUACGCUUCAUGAAAACUCAAGGCUAGUCUAGAAGGGCCAAAGAUGUCCUUGUUGACAAAGCUGGUCUUUGUCACCUAAUUGGGGUGUCCUAGGUAUGUCCCAUUUCUAGUAGGGGCUCUGGUUAGAUGACUUGUACAGAUUGCAGUUACCUGUGCUGAAAACCCCUUCCCCUAGGUUAGCCUUUAGAAGUUAGAGUUGUGGAAAGCACUAUUGUUUUCUUCACUAGCGAUUGUCGCCCUGUACUUUUCACGGAAGCAUCUUCACAAACUGUUGGACACACCUGAAGGACAAAAAAAAAUCACACGAUUGUUUUUACAGUUGAGCAAAUUUUCUGUGGAUGCCAGUCAUUUAUACUUGAUCAGUUGUAUCCUAGCAAAGAAGCUCUUUGGGGACUGUAGGAAAGCAUGUUUUUGUCAUUAUAAAAACACUUUUUAAAAAAUCCUGAGAAUUCUGGGCUUGUAUAAUGCCUGUUGAUCUUGCCCUCUUAAUCAGUUUAUUGUUAUUCACAAAAUGCAAAUAGAUUUUCAAAAUAGAGAUAGUUUUGGAAGACACUAAUUCAGUUUUCUUUUAGUAGAGAGUAACACUAGCAAAGCAAGUGUCCAUUAUUUAUUCUGAAUCUCGUAGUCUGAUUACGAAGCGUAUAAGACUCACCUGAAAAUAAUAUAGCCAUUUUGAAGGACAUCUUAUUCCUUUGUGUAUGUGUGUGUGUGUGUGUGUUUUUUUUUAAUGCACAUCUACCUCUUCCAACUGUUUUAAGUUCUUUCAAGUCUGUGCCUAUGAAUCUCAUUGAACUUUUGAUCAUUCAUGGGUUGACUAUCCACUUUGGCCAUUUGCGGCCAUUGUUAUACUGUUGCACAGUCUGACCUGCAUCCGUUACAUAUCAGCAGUUUCUGAGAACAGGAGAGGCGACUGAAGCUGAUGUAAAAUAAUUCUUUCUGUUAUCUCAUUCUUUCUGUUAUCGUGGAUAAGAGAGUCAGCCACUCCCUCAGUAUCCCUUCUGUGAGCAAACCCUUAAGCAGAAGGAAGCGGUCCAGCCAUCAUCAGCACCCGGUUGUCAUGGUGCAUCUAAAAUGUGAUUCCAUUUUUCUUAUAAUUCUUCAGGGAACAUAUCUGCAUUAAGUGAGGUUAAAUGCAUUCAGGAGGGUUUUUUUUUGUUUUUUUUUUUUGUUUUUUUUUUUUAGUUUUAGAAUAAUAGUAUUCCUAAAGCAAACCCUAUUAACUGUGGUUCACCCUUUAAAAUGUUCCUCUGAAGACUCCUUUUACCAACUCAAUGAGGAUGGUGGAGCGUGUCCUUGGUUUCUUGGGAGUUUGGUCACGUGCAGGCUGCCCUUUACUGAGCAGAAGCUGGGGCAGAGGAAACAGGUUAAAUGGCUGGCUUCGGCCGUGAGCUCCGUGUCGGGAGGAGAUGGCGAGAUAACCUCUCGAGCCACGUGACUCUUCAAGAGCAGCAGGCGGCUGUUACAUAUGUGAAAAAGGACAGAUGAAGAACCUGUGUUCACAGACAAUCGGAACCGUUCCUGACGUUCGUGUACAUCUCCCUUCACUGUUGUGUUAUUUUAGAGCCGUUUGUUAAAAUAGUGAAUAAUUUAAUGAUCCUAAAAGUAACAGGUUUUGCGUGAGUGUGUGCUCGUGUAUGUGAGAAUCGCCUUCUUUUCGGACUGUUUUAAUUUAAUGAUGGUUUCCUGGACAGCAUUCUGGUGUUCAGCAACCAGUACGGAAUAUUGGUCAUUAAAUCCGUAUCAGUCUUUUACCAUUGUCAUGCUUUCUCCUUUCUUGUCACCCACUCAGCGUCACUCGGUUCAGUCUAUGGAAGCCGCAUUCUGGGAGCACAGGGGUCGGCAAACCACCAAAUCCAGCCUGCCUCUCUCUGUAAAUAAAAUUAUAUCGGAACGCAGUCGGACCCGCGCAGGCCUGCUUACACACGGGGUCUGUGGCUGCUUUUGCUCUGCAGUGGCGAGGUUGAGUAGUCGUGACAGAGGCCCGUGGCCCUCAAUCCUAAGACAGUUACUAUCGGGUUCUUUACAGAAAAAGGCUGCUGACUCAUGUGUUAGGAUGUUCAGGCAGAUAGAUGACAGAUCAGCCUGGGAUUGGCCGGUGUCUCAACCAUCGUUCCUUUCUAACCAGUAAUUCGGCCCUUUUGUGUCAACGUGCCUCUUGCACUGAUGCUGGAAAUGUGUUCACUGGCGUCCAUUCCCAAAGAUCUGUGUCUCCAUUCGUCGUCAGAACAACCUGUGGGGAUUUGGGCUGCGGGCAGGAGGAAGGUCGUUAGGUCUCAUCUCUAAUAUAUUUAUAUAUAUAUAAAAUCUUCCUGAAUCACUUAACAGUAUUUUCUUUCCUCCAUUUCUCAGAAAUGUAACUUAAUGGCUACCGGUAAUACUGAACGGAACUUACCAGCUGGACUGGCCUUUGCUGGAGCUACUUCCUAGCUAGUCUCUGCCCAUCCUCCUGGAAACAAUGAGGCAGCAGUCUGUAAGGAAGGGAUUCACAAGAAAUAGAAGAGCACCUUGUGCCCUUUUAAUGACCAUAAGUGCCUCCUGUGUGAAUGCCCACGCGCUCUCUCCCUGGCGAGCGGGGCCAGUGGUGGCUGGGUUCCGCAAAGAGACCAUCUGUCCUGUGAUCACACAUUUCUUCCCAAGCCUGACUUCCGGCUCGAAGCAACCACCAGUCCAGCUCCUGGGCCCUGGGAAAAACCAUAGGUGUCCCCUGGGAAAAUGAUAUUAAACCAAGGAUUCGAAGUGCUCGUUGAGUGCCCCGUGGGACAGCAGGGAAGCUGGGCGUCUGGGCCACAGCGAGAAAGGAGCCUGAGCUUGCUGUGAGCAGGCCUGUGUCCACGUUCCAGUCAGAGAAGAUGUGUCCAGUCAACUUGGAAUUUUGGGGCUGAAUUAGUUUAAGACAGGGAUUUUCUUAACCUCAACCACACAGUAGAAUUACCGGGAGAGCUUUGAAAACAAAAAUACUACUCAGAGAUUGGUGAAUGGGUCUGGGGUGAAGUUCAAGUACCUGUAAUUUUAUAAAUGCUUCCCAGGCAGCCAGGACUGAGUCUGUAAGGACAGCUAGGCACCUCCUUCCUCGGGGAUUGCAGUGAGUAAAAUUCACAAGCCUCAAAUCCUCUUCUCUGUUACGGUGUAUAGAGGCGAAGGUCAUUGUCAGAGGCAGUGGGGUUCGCUGCCUGUCUGCUCUUGGUUAGGCCUGGCAUGAUUUCAUCCACACCUUCCCCAAAUAGUCAAAGAUAAUAAGUAAGAGCCAGGGAACGUGCCUGUCUUUGAAGUUCACCAUGUCCCGCCAGAUGGGCGUCCCAGGCUGCCGGCCUCCUCCAUCUCCCCCGACCGAUGCAGGCUAGGGUGGCGUCUCCUGCAUGAAGGCAGUCACCCCCCCACCCCCAUCCGUGCUCCAAGGCUGUGGCUCUUCAGAGCAGAGACCCUGAGAACUUGGUCCAUGAACACGCCAAGUGCGGACAUGCGAGUUCCGGAUGCUGGGGGCACAGGUGUGACAGGGACAAGCUCUCGUGUUCUACGUGCCGGCGGGAGAAGGGGAAGGCCAGUUUUGUUCCCUGCCUCACAGUACACCCAGCUGCCUUGUGAAUUAUUUCCCAAACCGUAAGUAUGACUCUGGGGAUUUGGCCGCUGGUGGGGCAGGGGUGGGGGUGGGGGGCAGCAGAGGGAGCUUCAGGUGUCAUGCCUGGGCAAGAUGGUACCUUCAGCAAAGGCUCUGAGUGAAGCGGGGUGAGGAAGAGGGCUUGGGCGACUAUGAGUCGGAGCUGCCACCUCUGCAAAUCAGGGUGUCCGCUUUCCGGGGCUUUGGUGGGUGGGGGAAAGGUGUGUGACCUUGGAAAGGCUAAUGAAGCCAGGGCCGCUAAGGGAUCUGUCUAGACAUUUCUUCUAUGGGGUCUACUGUUAGGAAGCGUCUGAGUCAAACCAGAGCUUGGGCCGACAGGACCAUCUCAAGGCUCCAACGGAAGCAGCUCUGCCGCUCAGUGGGUUGAAGUCAAUGGACAGAGUAGGAGUCACGGGCAUGACUUCACAGCCUGAGGCCGCUGGACGGAGGCAGGCACUGUCCCAUGUUGCUGCAGCCUAGGCUAGGCACGACAUGUAGCUUUGAUCUUGGCCUCAUCUGUCCAGUGGAAAGAUGUGGGUGUGAGGUGUGGAAGAAGAUCAAACAGAAUAAUGCGUGAAGGGUCCUGGAAGGUUAGGGUCUAUGCAAACGUUGGGGGACGAGGCUGUCACAGCGCGGUGUGUUGUACCAUAGCUUCUAGGAGCGGGGAGGCAGAUGCUCGAAGCAGACUGUGUCCUCCUGGACUUUGGCUCCCGGGGCAGGAGGCAGAGGGUAUGGGAGGCCAUGGCCUUCACUUCCCCAGGGACACAGGAAGAAAGGAGGAACGAGUUGGCCGUGGCUUUGAGGGCGCUCUGUGGUGCGGGGAGCGCAGGGCUGACCUUUGGUGCUCACUGGCCGUGGCCUUGAGCGAGGCUGAUUUUCCUGGGUCCCCGUCCCCUCUUCAGGAGGCACCGUCUCUGCUGACUCUCCACACUCUGACGUCUAGCGAUUGUCGAAGGGCUUAAAACCUACUCGGAAACAGCCACAGCGUCCUGCGAGAGUGACAGGAGAACUUGUCUCAGUCCCUGGCAGGCUCCGCAGCUCUCCUGGGAUUUCAGAGGUGGGAGGGGACUGCUCCCUGGUGGGCUCCUAAUCUGUCCCUGGCUCAAGGGUAUUAUGCUUCUUUACAGAUGUGGCACCAGGUCACAGGAGCGCGGGGAGGGGCUAGGAGAUCCGGCUCCCAGCUUCGGCCUUCCACCCGCAAACCAACAUUGGACGGGAGGACGCUGUCCACGCGGCCAGCUGCAGAGGCGCGGAGGCGCCAGCGGACACGCAGCCCACUGACACCUGCCCGGUGUCCUCGGGAGCGGAACCGAGAAACGGGCCACGACCUUCAUUUGCAGCCACCUUCGACCCACGUCCCACGGCUGAGGUUGGAGGGGACAGCGUGGUAGCCCUAGAAGGCCCAGGUGGCUUGGGGUGCUGGCGACGCCCACCCUCCGCCCUCUUCCCAGAUGCCCUUACUCCCCGUUCCGCCCCUUCAGUGAUGUUGGUAGGACAGCCUCCCGGCCCCGAGUCUUCUCGGCCUCCCCCGGCCCCUCCGUCAGCCCCCGCUCCCAGGCCAAGCCCAGGGGGAUGUGGGGUCCGGCUUUGUCUUGCUUAGGGGACUCUCUUAACUCUGACAGCUCUCCCUCCACUCCUUAAAAUCCUGUUUAUUCUGCUCCAGAACCGCUUUAAAUGAUCGUCUUCCUUCCUUCCUGUGCUCCAUUAAUACCGACUGAGUGUUCAGUCUGGGCCCGAUGUGGGGGUACAGCUGUGCACAGGGUCACAGUACAGGGUCCCCGGGGAGCCCUCCCAGAGUCUAGUUGGGGAGACAGGUUAAUAAGCAACCACCUUAGACUGUGACAGGCGCCUAGUGAGUGGGGACACUUGGCCCGCCCUGCGAGGCUGGAGACUUCCUGCGGGAGGUGCAGCCUGAGGCAUGAGGUGAUGCGGCGGAGGGUGGGAGCCAGGGGGCGGGAUGCGUUCAGGUGACGGCUGGAGAUGCAGGUGCUGCAGUGCCUCUCCCCAAAUGGGCCGUGCUCCCCCAAACCCGCGUUUCCCAGCCUCGAGGCACCUGCUACAAACUUUACCACGGGGAAUCAGGUGUGUUCUUGAGCGGUAGGGCAAAGAGGUCUGGGGUCCCGGCCAGCUCUGCUACUGAUCGGCUGGGCGACCUUGGGAAAGUCACUUCACUUCUCAGGCCUCAGUGUUCUCAUUUGUGAAGCGGGGGAGGGGAUGGAGCCCACAGUUAAAAGCUGGACUCUCUGGGACCUUUUUAGCUCUACAAUUUGAACUCCACAGACACUUCGAUCUCCCCCGGAGGAGACCAGGAGCCUCCCCCGUCUACCUAUGAUUAAGAGAGCGUUGUUUCACCUACUGCUGAAAGAAUUCUCAUGAUCAGGUGUCGCUGCAUAACUUGUAAGACUCUGCAGAGUCAAACGUGGGCCCCAGAGCAGAGCAUCAAGCUCCGGGCCCUGUGACUACGUGAGAGGUCACACGCCCGUGAAGCCACCUUGCCUGGAACUACACUGUUGGUUUUACAGGCUCCAGCGGGUGCAAGGAGGAAUUCACAUCCCGGCCCACAAGCAGGAUGUUCCUGCCUUAAUGGCCAGGGUCCACGCGGAGAUGACGACAGGGCCACCUCGGGCCCGCCCCCUGUCGCCAGCACCUAUUUUGGAAGAACGGCUGACUCGGCUGGUGCAGGUUCUGUUUCUUGAGGCAAGACUGAACUCUUAAUUAGUGGGGGAGCUUCAGGUUUCUAGAACAGACUGGUGACUGUUCUAGACUUUGUAACUGAUCCGGGGCCCCCUGCCCUUGGGGACAGAGUGGCCAAGCCACUUUUUGUUAGUCCUCCCUUCCCCCUCCAGUCCAUCAUAAUGAGCCUCUUUCAUGCCUCAAAACACAACUCCAUUCCAUGCUCAUUGUCCUAGUGUGGGAUGGGGCUGGGAAACAGGAAAAGGCCCCCCUCACAAACCUCCCCUGCAGUCCCCAGGUGCUUUCAGGGACCACGUGGAGCCAGAGGGGUUGGGCGGUCCUCACCUUGAGUCACUUAAGGGAGUGGGAAGUUUUCUUUAGAAUUCUAUUUUAAAAAGUAGAAUUUCCUUAUUUUUAUAGUAUAAAAAUUCUCCGAGCAUCACAUUAUCGCAGGCUUUAUAUUGAAUUUCCAGUGCCCUUAAAAUCCUAGCAGCUAAGGUUUUGCCUUCGAAAAAGUCUUUUCCCACAACCAAAGUGCCCUUCGAUAGAUAACUGGAUGAAGGAGAGGUGGUGCGUAUGUGCAAUGGAAAACCGCUCAGCCGCAUGGAAAGAUGGGGUACUGCCGGCCACUACGACACGGAGAAUCGAGAUGACCGCGCUGAGUGAAAUAAGUCAGACGGGAAAAGCUGAGACCCGUAUGAUUUCACUUACACGUGGGCUAUAACACCGAAAGCAACCAACAGAACUCACGGACACGGACAACAGUUUCGGGGUUAUCAGAGGGAAGGGGGAGGUAGGAAAGGGUCGGAGGGGGGGGGCGGUCAAGUGUAUGGUGACGGAAGGAGAUUUGACUUUGGGUGGUGAAUACAAUGCAGUAGACAGAUGACGUAUUGUUGAAUUGUAAACCUGAAAUCUAUAUAAUUUUAUUAACCAAUGUCACCUCAAUAAAUUUUAAAAAGGAAAAAA